UGCCACGUUAGUCAACAAAUAGACACAACUCACUUGUGUGUCUGAAUUGAAAAACGUGGCUAGAAAAGGAACAGGUUGUGCUUUCCUCACUGUAUAGUUAAUUGCAGUGGUGACAAUGAGACCUGUAACAGGU